CGCGUAGGCGGCCGAGCGGGUCGCGGGUGAAAUCCUCCAGCUUAACUGGAGAACUGCCCUCGAUACCACUGCGGCUCGAGGAAGGAAGGGGCAAUCGGAACUGUCGGUGGAGCGGUGAAAUGCGUUGAUAUCGACAGGAACGCCGGUGGCGAAAGCGGAUUGCUGGUCCUUUUCUGACGCUGAGGCGCGAAAGCCAGGGAGCAAACG
rnacentral:rRNA from 1 species